ACACCCACAACAGGCAUUGCCACACCAGGCUUGGCCGGGUUCUCGAAAUCGGGCAUGUAAGUCCUUCCAAGGGCUCCAUCAACAUUAGGGGAAAGGCUAAAGAACCUAAACUGCACUUCCAAGUGAGCAAAGCAGUCAUCAGAAGGUACUUUGUAGUGGUGAACCCUGUCAUCUUCUUUGGUCACUGGAACUAUAUUCACCAUAAUCUCUGCUGUGUCCUUCAAUGUACAAUCACACAGUUCUUGUUUGCUACUCUCUUUACUUUCACUUCUUUUUCAGGGGAGUACCAACUUGAGAGUGCACCUUCUGGGACAACUAGUUCCUCCCCGUUGUAACUGAACUUUAGAUGGUCCACUUCACUGUUCCAUGUUGCAGCCUUAGUAGCCUCAAGUGAAAUGGAGUGAGAGUUGAACAGGAUUCCAAGUGCU
rnacentral:lncRNA from 1 species